AGGGGGCUGAGAUCACGUGACACGGAGAGAGGUGGAUGUUCUACUUUAGGGUAAAUUUGGGAGAAAAACUCCCAAAACGGGGAUUUCCCCUCGGAAAUGAUCCCUCCCCACCAACCGGUCCGGGAAAGGUAAAAUAUUCCCUUGGAGAGAAGUGGGAAAAGCUGUUUAUUUAAGAGGAAUCGAAUAAUAUUAAAUAAUACAACCUCUCGCUGUUCCAUGGUGUUAUAGAUUCUAUAAAAUUUACGUGAACCUCGUUUUGCACAAG